GAUGAAGAACGUAGCGAAAUGCGAUAAGUAAUUUGAAUUGCAGAAUUCAGUGAAUCAUCGAAUCUUUGAACGCACAUUGCGCCCCCUGGUAUUCCGGGGGGCAUGCCUGUCCGAGCGUCAUUACAACCCUCAAGCUCAGCUUGGUGUUGGGCCCCGCCGCCCCGGCGGGCCCUAAAGUCAGUGGCGGUGCCGUCCGGCUCCGAGCGUAGUAAUUCUUCUCGCUCUGGAGGUCCGGUCGUGUGCUCGCCAGCAACCCCCAAUUUUUUUCAGGUUGACCUCGGAUCAGGUAGGGAUACCCGCUGAACUUAAGCAUAUCAAUAAGCGGAGGA
rnacentral:misc_RNA from 1 species